ACAGACCUGAGCGCGGCAGGACUACCCGCCGAACUUAAGCAUAUUAUUCAGCGGAGGAAAAGAAAACAACCGUGAUUCCCUCAGYCAGCGGCGAGCGAAGAGGGAUCCAACUCGAUGCUGAAUCGGAGCAAUCCGACUUGUAGCAUUCAAGAGGUUACGUGGAUGGUGCGGGACUGGCGAAAUUCAACGCGCAAAGCAAACCCAUUGCUGAACACAACCCCUCAUGUGAGUAUUGAGCCAUAGAAGGUGUCAGCCCAUUGAGCCAGAAACCCAGCGCCACAUUUGAUCUCACCAAACGAGUAGCACUGCUUGGGAGUGCAGUGUGAAUCGGCAGGUAUGUGUCUGCCAAAGUUAAAUACAGAGUAGGAAGACCGAUAGCGAA
rnacentral:rRNA from 1 species